GAAUCAAUAAUGUACCGGAAACAUGCCACAGUUGGUUUAUCUGUCUUCUAACAGUAAUUAAUUGCCAGUGUUUCAACAAGAUUGAAAUACCAGUUUCCCAGAUCAAUAUAAUUGGACAGGAUAGGAAGUCCGUUGUCUGUGCAAUCCCUUCAAAAAUGGGGGGAAAGAUAGACUUGGGAUGUCGUCUGAUAGUCUACAUUU
rnacentral:snoRNA from 1 species